ensembl:lncRNA
CUCAUGUCAGGCCUCCGCCGGGGACCCCGCGUGCGGGGGUGGCGGCCGCGCCGAGCGCCCCGAGGCCCCGCCUCGCUGGUUGGGGUCGUGGGUACGCGCAGGAUGCCACUUACUCGCUGAGGGCUGCCGGCACGGGUCCCCUGCUCUCCGUCCGCCCCAGGACUCCGGUUGUCGUGGUAACCGAGGCCAGCGAGGCGUGAGCCUGCGUCGUCGCCAAGGAGAUGGCGUCCCGGACGGGGCAGUCCAGCCCACCCGGCCGGGGAAAAGCGGCUGCCCUGCACAUACUUCCGGACUCACCCAGUGCUGGCCAUCUGGUGGCUGCGCCAGCCCCACGAUGGAAAGUGCCGCCGACCAGGGAUUAGAGUGCAAUGUGUAUGUGUGCUCGAUGGAACAACAGACUCCGAAGAGGUCCACAUCCCAAUCCCCAGAGCCUGCGGACGUGCCACCUCGUAUGGCAAAAGGGACUCUGUGGAUGUGAUGAGAGCCCAGGAGAUAGGGAGAGUGUCCUGGAUCAUCCAGGUGGGCCCUAAAUGUGGUCACGAUGCUCCUUAUAAGAGGGAGAGCCAGAGUCAGGGGAGGAGGAGGUGUGAUGACAGAAACAGAGGUGAGAGUGGUGCAGCCACAGAAAUGAGGAAUUCGAGCCGCCUCUGGAAGCUGGAAAAGGCAAGGAGCCUUCAGGAGGAGCGCGGCCCUGCCCACACCUUGAUUUUAGCCCCUACGACUCACUUUGGACUUCUGACCUCCAGAACUUUAAGAUAAUAAACAUGUGUUAAGUUUGUGGUAAUUGCUGCAGCAGCAGCCAGCAGAAAACCUGCAUGAGGCACUGGGAGGCACUGGGAGGCCUAUGCAGGCACUGGGAGGCACUGGGAGGUCUCUGACAUUUCCACUCUGGCCCCUCUGUCUCUCGUCAGAGCGAAGGCAGGCCUCAAGCCCGGGGCCUCUGCUUUCAGCAUUAUCAAGCACAGUUUAACCAAAGGAGUCUGUCCAGGAAUUUACACUUCGAGUUCCCUUCUUUUUCUGGCUGUUUCUGUUUUGGUGGAUGCCGUCAGGUUUCCUUCUAAGCAAAAACAAGUGAGUUGAUGUAAGUCAGCAGUUCUCCACCAGGGAGAGUUUUGCCCCCCAGGAGGACCCUUGGCAAUGUCUGAAGACAAUUUUGGUUGUCACAACUGGGGUUGAGGGUGCUGUGACAUCCACUGGGCGGAGGCCAGGGACCCUGUAACGCUCGGCACAGCCCCACCCCCAACCCCAGGACAACGUGUCAGUAGUGCUGAGGUGAAGAAACCCUGGUGUAAAGAAAACCAUGAAGCACAGGAGGCACGUGCAGGAGGAAAGGGUCGCUUGGACAAAGUGGAACUGGGCUUGGAGCUAAGUGAAAAAAGCCAGACAUGAAAGGGCAUGUAUUCCAUGAUUCCACUUUUAUACAAUGUCUAGAAUAGGCAGAUCCAUACGGAAAGUAAGCUAGUGGCUGCCAGGGGCUGGAGGGUGGGGGGAAUGGGAGUGACUGCUAAUGGAUAUGGGGUUUCUUUUUGGGGUUAUGAAAAUGUUCUGGAAUUACAAAAGUGGUGAUGGUUGCAUGACUUUGUGAAGAUAUUAAAAACACU